rnacentral:rRNA from 1 species
CCCUUAGAUGUUCUGGGCCGCACACGCGCUACACUGAAGGAGGCAGCGUGUACUCCUGGAUCGAAAGAUUUGGGUAACCCGCGAAUCUCCUUCGUGCUAGGGAUUGAGGUUUGCAAUUAUCCUUCAUGAACGAGGAAUUCCCAGUAAGUGCAAGUCAUAAGCUUGCGCUGACUACGUCCCUGCCCGUUGUACACACCGCCCGUCGCUACUACCGAUUGAAUGAUUUAGUGAGGACUUCGGACUGGGACCGAUGCGGCUUUCGGGCUGCGUCGGUAUUCUGGAAAGAUGUCCAAACUGUAUCAUUUAGAGGAAGUAAAAGUCGUANCA